rnacentral:rRNA from 1 species
UACGAAAGGUGCAAGCGUUAUUCAUAGUUAUUGGGCGUAAAGGGUAUGUAGGCGGGGCUAAAAAAUUUUGUUUAAAAUGCUUGGAAUUACCCUAAGAAGAAGACUUUUAGAUUUUAGCCCUAGAGUUAAUGUCGGGUCGGGGGUACUUCCAGCGAAAGAGUAGAAUCUUACGAUUCUGGAAAGACCACCAAAGGCGAAGGCACCCCUCCAGAGUUAACUGACGCUGAGGUACGGAAGCGUAGGGAGCAAACAGG